UAUUAAAGAUUUUAAAUUGACUAAUUACAAAGUUUAACUGGACUGCAAUAAUCAUCUAUCAAUAAUUUCUGUAUUAAUUGUCUAAAUUUAAUUAUCAAUCUCAUAACACGUGCUUGUAAACGCUAGUGUACUUCCGAAAUAUCCUAAUAUUCUAUCACUAUUAAACAUUACAAACCCCUACCGGUUUGAAAAGGUUCUUACCUACAAAAUAAAUUGGUUAGCAAGUUUUUUACAGAGACAUUAAUUUGAUGGAUUCGAUUACACCAUUAAUAAUUUUAACUGAGGUUGAUGAUUAAACUAAGUGAAGAACCAUUAAUAUAUACAUAAGAGUAUGUAUACAAUCGUAAAAGUAUAAUACUCAGUCUGUUAGGACGCGAAAACAUAAAUAGAAAUGUUUAUUGCUUAUCUGCUUGUGUGAAGAAUGAAUGAAGUGGAGGAGUAUGAUGAGAUGGAGGUAUGUUUGAUAGUUGUGUAUAUAUUGAGCAGACGACAGAAAUAGCGGGUUUUCCCAGAAAAAACCCUAACCUAAAAAGAGGGGUAUGUAACGGUUUAUCGUUAUCUCUAACAAAAAUCCUAUUAAAUAAAAAUAAAUAAUUAACCAAAAUAUAACUAUAAACUACUAUAAUACAUUUUUACAUACAUUCUUCUAAAUAAAAUAUUCAAGAACUUAAAAAAUAAAAAACAAUGUAAAAUAAAUAUACGUACAAACAGAAUUGACGAUUGCAUUUGUUAUUAGUUAAAACUAGAUGCGAAUACAAAAGACUACGUCACCGCUCCAGAUAAGCGAUAGGCGCUGGUCAACGUAUGAGGCGCAUUCGCGCUCGCAUUCCCUACCACGGCUCCGACAGCGAAAGGUCAAGUUACCUAAAACUCUCAUAACGUCAGACGACAUGGAGUGACAAAUUUAUUUUAAAUUUUAACUACAAUUAAAUGUGUUAAGUGCCAGUUUUUCCCCAAAUAGGGGAACAAGUCUGGGGUCGUUAACUGGACCCACAAUUUGGAUGCGCGCGCGCCUGCACACGUUCCGGAAGGUUCCGGAAGGAAGACUGGCGGUCCGGAACUGCCUCUGAUGACGACCACGCCCAGUACGACUUCGGCGGCGUAGUGCAGGGAAGUGACCCCUAACAAGGGCUUGUUUCUUCUUUUAUUGUAACCGGCCAGCUCAGGAAAUACCUACCCACGAUCCUGGAUAAUUAGAUAGGUUUUUUUCAUUUAAAAUAUAGUUUGUAAAAUUUUUC